rnacentral:SRP_RNA from 1 species
GCUGGGCGUAGCGGCGUGCGCCUGUAAUCCAGCUACUUGGAGGCCGGGAGGUGGAAGUUGCUGACUCCGGGAGUUCCGUCUCCUGUCUGCGCAUGUUGAUCGGGCGUCCAUGCUAAGCGCGGCGUCGAUAUGGAACCCACGCCGGAGGGCGAGGGGUCCAGGUCGCCUAAGGAGAGGUGCACCGGGCCAGGCGGUAAUCCACAUACUAGGUCGAUGGCAGAAUGUGGAUUUUUCAAAGGGGUUUUAAUCAUUCGGAGACUCGGAGUCACGCAACCUAAA